GACGAACGCUGGCGGCGUGCUUAACACAUGCAAGUCGAACGGAAAGGCCCUGCUUGCAGGGUACUCGAAUGGCGAACGGGUGAGUAACACGUGGGUGAUCUGCCCUGCACUUCGGGAUAAGCCUGGGAAACUGGGUCUAAUACCGGAUAGGAGCCAUUUUUAGUGUGAUGGUUGGAAAGUUUUUUCGGUGUAGGAUGAGCUCGCGGCCUAUCAGCUUGUUGGUGGGGUAAUGGCCUACCAAGGCGGCGACGGGUAGCCGGCCUGAGAGGGUGGACGGCCACAUUGGGACUGAGAUACGGCCCAGACUCCUACGGGAGGCAGCAGUGGGGAAUAUUGCACAAUGGGCGCAAGCCUGAUGCAGCGACGCCGCGUGGGGGAUGACGGCCUUCGGGUUGUAAACUCCUUUCGCUAGGGACGAAGCUUUUUGUGACGGUACCUAGAUAAGAAGCACCGGCUAACUACGU
rnacentral:rRNA from 1 species